GGGGAUAUAGCUCAGUGGUAGGGCAUUUGAAUGCAGAUUGAGAGAUCUCCGUUUCAAACCCGGGUGUCCCCU